AACAGACCAGCACCACGUCAGAAAAAGUGGUAUGAUCUGUAUCAGAAGAUUGAGAAAUGUCCAAUGCAGCUGAGGGGGCAUAAACCUUUGUUUGGAGGAACACAGACUUGUAGCUGUGGUUUUUAUGCAAGAAAGCCUUCCAUCUCUGUCCCUGUGCCAGAGACACCACAGCCAGGACCGUCAGCAGCAUCCUUUUCUGCAGC